CUUAGGCUUUUGAAGUCUUUAAAGAAACCAUCACUAUGAUCUUUACUACUGCUGCGGAAAAGAGGACAACACUCCACAUUUCUGGCAUUGUAAAUGACAACACCGCAACUGAAAGCAAGCUUGAAUUUCUGGGAGUAGCAUUAGGAUACAGGACCCCUGCUGAGCUCACCAGUUCCUUGCUCUACACAGCUGCUUUCUCAGCUGGGGUUUUGAAAUAAGCACUGUGAGAAAAGACAGAAAUGACCAUGAUGCAUCUUUCUCACUAUGAGAAAAAGGUACCAUGUGAAGGCCUGGGCAUAUAACAUGAAACAAGAAAGAUAAGGCCCGUGCUUACAUAGAACUUGGUGAAGAAUCUAGACCAUAACAAGCACACAGAGAAAACGUAUCACAAAUUGUGCUAAAGUUCUGUAAAGGGAUUAAGAUGAAGUGUCACAAGACUGAAUUAGACAGAGUGCCCUUGAAAGAGUGCCAAUUUUUAGAAUGGAGGGUGUAGAUCCAUCCUUUGCAACUGGUGAGGACCUCCUCAGUAAGGCACUGAGCCAGGAGUCUAUACAGCCAUGCCAGCAGGGAGCACUGUCUUUCAUUGUCUGAUGUUUAUUGCAAACCUGUUCUUUUCAGCUUUUUGUUGUUUCAGCCUAGUCCAAAGACGUUUACAUCCUGGAAGAGAACUUGCUGGCUUUUCACCUCAGCAUGUAUGGGCCAAACUAAUAUAACAAGAAGUCUUGAGAGGAGUCAGCGGCCAAGCUCCAUGUCUUGCAGCCAAACAAUGCUGUGGGAUGGAAGGUGGGAUGUCAUGUGUCUGGUUUACAGCACUCACGUAUCAGUUGGCAGUUAACGGAAGUGCUACUGAUUGGUGAUAUGCCUACUCCCCCUUCACCUUCGAUCAUGAUUGUAAACUUCGUGAGGACAUCACCAAAGGCUGACAUUGGCAACAUGCUUCCUGUACAAUCUGCAGAACAACGAUGGAACAAAAUAAACA
rnacentral:lncRNA from 1 species